rnacentral:misc_RNA from 1 species
GAUGAAGAACGCAGCGAAAUGCGAUACUUGGUGUGAAUUGCAGAAUCCCGUGAACCAUCGAGUCUUUGAACGCAAGUUGCGCCUCAAGCCAUUAGGUUGAGGGCACGUCUGCCUGGGCGUCACAUAUCGUUGCCUGAUGCCAGUUUCCUCGUGAUGGGUGACUGUGCAGGGCGAAUGAUGGCUUCCCGUGAGUAUUGUUGCCUCAUGGUUGGUUGAAAAUUGAGUCCUUGGUAGGGAGCGCCGUGAUAGAUGGUGGUUGAGUGACGAACGAGACCCAAUCAUGUGAGACCCCUACCGAAUUUGGCCUUCAUGACCCACAUGCGUCUUUGGAACGCUCAUGACGAGACCUCAGGUCAGGCGGGGCUACCCGCUGAGUUUAAGCAUAUCAAUAAGCGGAGGA